rnacentral:lncRNA from 1 species
UGCACUGGUACACGAACCCUAAUACAUUUUGUCCACAAGCAUCACAGCAUCUUUCACCCUUUUGCGGGGCUCUGGAGUGAAAUCUCAAGCUGCACUUCGAAAAUGGAUGGGAGGUAGAUGGAGUAGCCUUUGCGCAUUCCUCGUGAAGAUAGAAGUUGCAGUCUUUGUGCUCGCAUUUGUAGCAUGGGCCAAACCCCAGUCCUUUGCAUCCGUCACAUUCAUAAGGCUCUCGUGGACGCUUCAACAACAGAAAAUGUUCGCUAUGACUGGAAUGUUUAAUCUUGGUAAUUAAUCCCAUGUCUGUUGAAGCAAAACAAUAAUAAACUUGGUCAGUUAAUCUCAAGUAAGGGCGUAAUAAAACAUGUAACCACACCAUUUUCAGAUGCUGAAAUGUUCCUACCCAGGAAAAUUAUAAACACUUAUAGUACUGUUGUGUGAAAUUCAAUAGACCCAACCGCAAAAAGAGAAGAACUGACCAAAUAAUUAAUAUAUUAUGCUUUUAUCCGAAAUUAAAGCUAUAUUUAUAAGAGAAAUUGUUUCCAGAUUGAAUUGAAAAGAGGAGAAAGAAAGAAAAGUACGUGGUCUACCCAUUCAACGACAAAGAUAUUGUUUAUGAAUUAAGAGAGCGAGUAUGUAUACGUGUAUUUGAGAGUAUGCUAAGACAUGAUAUUCAUCUUGUGAUCACCAGACACGAGAUGUUAUCGUCGGGAAAAAGAAAGGGGGAAGCUGGGGUGGAAUCAGGGAUGCAGAGUGCGAAACCAUCAAACCACUCGUUGUAUAAAACAAGAAUCAUCCUUGAAUUGAUUUCACUAAAUGCGAAGUUUAUAAAAAUAUAUUAAAAAAACACACAAGAAUUAGUAAUCGUAAUAAAUAAAUAGCAAGCAGAUAAAAUAUUAUCUUACCGAAAUGUUUCCGCUAGGAUCUCUAAUGAAUUAGUCUUGGCUUCGACGGCAGGCUUUAUAAACCACGAGCACCUCUUUGAUACCCAAGAUGAUGUGCGUUCAUGUAUUUAUGAAUAUAGGAGCAGUUUGGCUUUUGAUUCGAAGUGAAGAGAUCUGAUCCAGUGGUUUAUUAUAUACAGGUAAUUAACCGACUUAAAAAGGAAACUUCAAACACUGGACAUGGACAUGGACCUAACAUAUAAUCAACUAAGAAAUACAGAGAUAAAUAUCAAGCACUGGGAAGCCGUGCCUUGGGGGGCAAAUUAGCUUACAUAUAACGCAAGUACUGACACCUUACAUAUCUUACCGAAAUGUUUGCAGUUGUCAUAUAAAAUCAACAAGGUGACGUUGAUAAAAAAAAUAAAAAUAAAAGCUGAUUCUCCUAAACCAAUACUGGCCCGUUUAUUUGUUCAUUAAGUCGCAGCCCAGACUAGCCUCUAAAAUCUGAUGAGAGAUAAUCCUGCCGGUGGAAUCAAGCCUCAGGACUAGAUCUGGCCUGACACCUGAAAUAAUCAAGCCUUAGUUGGAUUUUUUUUUCCCGGAUGAUGGCUGGACACUUUUGUUUUGUGUUGGGCAGGUUGUAUCAUACACACUAGCCACGGGCGCUGCUGCGGCAUUUGGAGCGACAAAAGACCUGAAGACACAAUUUGCAGGGCUAGGAGGUGAUAAGUUUGUCAACAAAGGUUAUGCAUCCGCUAGUCUCCUCCUCCUCGGAUUUGUGUGCACGGCUAUAUCAUCCGUUUUCUCAUCAUACGCACUCCCAAAGAAAGUUUAAUUGUAUCAGCGCCUGGAUUCGUGUUUAUAGCGUGUUUUGAUUUUCCGUUCAAGUCCUAAGAAAUCAUCGUUCGCGUUCUCGUUUGGAUUUUGUUUAUCAACAAUGUAAUAUAUGUUGUCCUAGUUUUCUUAUGGCUAAUUUAAAGCAUAUAGUUUCGGGGGGGGGAGUCUCACUUUAUUAAACAGUUUACUGAAUCAAUGUUAUGUUAAUGUCUAGUUUUUUUAUAGAAGAAUUGAGCACAUAAACUUCGGAACAAUCUGUCAUUUUAGCUAGUAAUAAUUAUUAGGCCUAUGCCCAGACAGCUGGAAAACCUAGCCAUGUGUGGCUGCACCAGACUGGGUCUAGACUAGGUCCGGAAACCCAGCCUUGGUUGUGUGGCUGAAAACCAAGCCCAUCAUUUGCCCUGUUUUCUCCGAUAUAACCUUCGUCUCUGUGAAAAAUGGCACUCGAAAUAACACCCACUUGGCAUCCAUUUAUUCACAGAAUACUUUCAUGUUAUCCCCGCUUACUGGUCGGUAUCUUGAUCUAUCAAAGCGCUAGCUCUUACAAAAAAUAUAGACUUCAGAUUUUCCAUCCAAUAAUUUAUUUGAAUAAAAAAAUAAAAUUGACCGUUACAAUUAGGAAUACGAGCUACAUACCAUCAUCCAAUAAUACACAAGUCGUGCCCUUCCGUCUUCAUGGGCAAGUCAUUGUCUUCUGCGACUUCAGCAUAUACGAGAUGUAGGGCAGUUGUUUUUUAAAUAAUUUUUUAUAUUAAAAUAUAUGUUAAUGAUAUUUUUUUAUUUUUAAAAUUUUAUUUUUAACAUCAACACAUCAAAAUCAUUCAAAACAUAUAAAUCAUAUCAAAUUUUAACAAAAAAAAAUUAAUUUUUUUAGAAACACGGUUUUGAACCGCGUUCCUUGACAGUUUCGUAGACAGCACAAAUAUUGUAUAUUACACGUGCACUCGUUUUGGGUUAAAAUAUAUACCGAAGGAAAGUAAAAACGACAAAUCCGGUGCCUCUUGAAUUUAUUUAUUUUUUCAUUUUUCAAUAUACACAUACACAUGUGGUGUUUCCUGUGUUCUUGAUGAACUUUUAUGGCUCUGCCAUUUUCCAACUUUCAUUCUCCUUUUUGUUUGUUUAAAGAAAUAACAUCUGCAUAAUUAUUAAGAAGAAAAAAAUAUAUAUAGCUACUGGCACCACAAGAUAACUUGGCUCAAUAUUGAUGAAAUGAAUUUACACAUUAAUCAAGAUUAAGUCUUUUGUAAUAUGAUUUUAAAAAUGCAGUCCCUGUAUCAAUAUGUUCAAAAAUUUAAUAGAUUUUUUUUAAACUCUAGAAAAUUAAAGAACAAAGCAAAACUCCUCAUCCACAGACUAGACCAUUGAAUUAGAACACCAAAGAGUUCAUCUUGUUUCCACAGCCUUAGAUCUACCGAAGAUUCCACGGGUCCAUAGAGUUUUCGAGUUUUUGUUAUGUGGGCUGAGUUAGAUAAGCUGUAGUCUGGUGUUCUUCUAACCACUCGAAUCUUACAAUGGGCUAUUUAGUUGUUGGGUUUCGUUCUCAAUUAGUCUGGGUUAAAUUAAAUUAAAAUAUAUAUAUAUAUAUAUAGUAUUUUAAUUAAUUUUUUAAAAGAUAUUUUAAAAACAAAUCACUAAAUAAAUAUCUCAGCUAUUAUCUUCCCUUCUGUCCAAAGAAAAAGAAAUAAUAAAAAAAUCAAAGAAAAUCUGAACACUUCCGCAGUUUCUUAGCAAUAGCACCGACAGGAAAUUUGGUGACAUUUUUCUUUCAAAUAUACGAGUAGGAAGUAUAAAAAGAAAACGGCACUUUCUCUGCAAUUUACACUUGUAUGAAACGAGGAGUCACAUUUUUCUCAGCUAUUAUCUUCCCUUGCUUGUCUUGUUCUUGCUGGACCUGGCAUCCACCUGAAGUUUCCUCUAUUAGCGCAUAGUUGCUCUCGUAAUGUUUCAAGAGACGUGUCCUAAUGGUUGAAAAUUAUGGCCCUACAAACCAACAUAUUCAAAGAUUCUCAACUUUCGGUCGUCAUAAUUGAAAUAUAUAUAUAUAUAUAUAUAUAGGAGACCAUUUUAUUUUAUUUUAUUUUUAAAUUUGGGUUGAUAAUGCAACGAUGUUGCUUAACAUGGACAUGGACAUGGACAGGGACCUAACAUAAAAUCAACAAGGAAAUUCAGAGAUAAUGCAUGUAUCGAAGAGAUGCCCAUGUUGAAUUAUAAAUAUCAAUCACAGGGAGCCGUGCCUUGGGGGGUAAAUUAGCUUACAUAUGAAGCAAGUACUGACUCGUGAGUCGCGAGUUGGAGGGUUGAGACGCAGGCUUACAUACGCAUUUCAUUUCAAGCUGAUUUGCCUCCAUCCAGGAAUUUUGGAUGGUCACGUCAUGUGAUUGAUAUUAUAAAAUAUUUAAAAAUAUUAAUUUGAAGUAAAAAAUAAAACAAAGUAAAAAUUUAAUUUUUUAAAACAAUAUUUUUAAAAUACAAAAAUUAUUAUUGUAUCUAAUAAUUGUAUUAUUCUAUUCUUUCAUAGACUUACGUGUUCAAUAAAUGUUUAACACAAAUUACUAAUAAAUUAGUUUUCAAAUCUCUUAUUUGUAAAAAGAAAUACCAAGUAAGAGAUCUAAGUAAUAGCGUUGUUUAUUGGUGGUCGAAAGAGAGUGUAUCAAUUGUUAGUACACUUGUAAAAUAAUUUUCAUAUUUUGAAUCUAAAUUCUAAAUAUUUAGUUUUAAGUAAAAUUUUCAUUAUAUAUUUUUAGAGUACAAGCCCUCAACAUGAUUUUUUAUAUUAAUCGAGAGAUUUAGUCAACCUAAUACGACAUGUAUGCCCGUUUCUAUCUAUACUUUUCAAAGAAUCUUCUUAAAGUAGAAGUUUUGUUUUUAGUUUAAUAAGUUUUGUAUUUUUUAUUAAAAAAGAAGUCGGUAUGCGACUUGAUGCGUGCAUGGACAGUUAUUGCAUACUUACUACCCAUGUCAGAUGGAAUAUUCGAUAGUUACUUAAUCAUACCCCUAUUUGGAAAGCAAAAAAUUCCAAGGAAAAUCACUAUAAUAUUCUUUUAAUAUUGCAGGGAAACACUUGAUGAACAAAUUAUAUAAUAAUAAGCUUGAUUAUUGAUUUGCAGGUCUCUUGUGCACCUCAAAUACAUGAUGAUAUUAAUAAUUUUAAGCAGGAGUACUAUCGAUUCUCUCAUGAACGGCGUGCAAUCAAGAUUGAUUUGAUUAAAUUUUCAAAGAGUGGAGUAUUAUUUGAUUAACUACAUUAAUAAUUAAACGUUUAUUUUCUAAAAUCUUACAUGGAUACUUAAUUACAAUAUUAAUUUUCAGAUCCGUCUGAGAAACGCAAUCUACAGGACAAACCUAUACACAGAGAAACAAUAUUCACGAAAAAAAAAAAUACAUAGAUAGUAUUGGUACUCAAACAAACAUUAAUUAUAAGAAUCUAGCUAUAAACGAAAGAAAAAUCAUCGAUGAGGCCUGUAUCACGCUUUAAUCGGGGAAGAACAGUUGAACACCCACUAAAAACAGAGUCGUAGUAGGAUCUCCAAACAAAGCAGAAAUAAUAAUCAUAAUAGCUUUCAUUGCCUUUCUGAUCCAUGUUUUCUUGCCCUUGCUUGAACUUUUCCUGCUUGGGAGUUCUAGUUCUCUACCUGAAAUGGCACUUUGAGGUGCUAGGUAAUUAUCCGUCUCAUUCACUUUGCCAUCUUGAAGGAAAUAACCCAUCUUCCACUUGUUCAAGAUCAUGUCCUUCACACAUGCUAUAUGGUAACAAUAUUGACCACAGGAAGAAACAUAGGACCAGCCUUUGAUUCCGUUCGAAGUUUUCCUACUUCCACAGUUUAAGCAUUUCGAUGGCAGCUUCUCCCUCAGGUGUAACCUCGUGCCAUCAUCAGCUGUUAAGGUAGGCUCGAGCUUUAAACAGCUGGGAUGGUAAUCGUGUGGGUUCUUAUUAUGUUUGCACUGGUACACGAACCCUAACACAUCUUGUCCACAAGCAUCACAGAAUCUUUCAUCCCCUUGCGGGGCUGUGGAGUGAAAUCUCAAGCUGCACUUCGAAAAUGGAUGGAAGGCAGAUGGAGUAGCCUUUGCGCAUUCCUCGUGAAGAUAGAAGUUGCAGUCUUCGUGCUCGCAUUCAUAGCAUGGGCCAAACCCCAGUACUUUGCAUCCGUCACAUUCAUAAGGCUCUCGUGGACGCUUCAACAACAGAAAAUGUUCGCUAUGACUGGAAUGUUUAAUCUUGGUAAUUAAUCCCAUGUCUGUUGAAGCAAAACAAUAAUAAACUUGGUCAGUUAAUCUCAAGUAAGGGCGUAAUAAAACAUGUAACCACACCAUUUUCAGAUGCUGAAAUGUUCCUACCCAGGAAAAUUAUAAACACUUACAGUACUGUUGUGUGAAAUUCAAUAGACCCAACCGCAAAAAGAGAAGAACUGACCAAAUAAUUAAUAUAUUAAGUUUUUAUCCGAAAUUAAGCUAUAUUUAUAAGAGAAAUUGUUUCCAGAUUGAGUUGAAAAGAGGAGAAAGAAAGAAAAGUACGUGGUCUACCCAUUCAACGACAAAGAUAUUGUUUAUGAAUUAAGAGAGCGAGUAUGUAUACGUGUAUUUGAGAGUAUGCUAAGACAUGAUAUUCAUCUUGUGAUCACCAGACACCAGGCAUGCAUGCCUUUUUCGGAGAUGUUAUCCUCUGGAAAAGAAAGGGGGAAGCUGGGGUGGAAUCAGGGAUGCAGAGUGCGAAACCAUCAAACCACUCGUUGAAUAAAACAAGAAUCAUCGUUGAAUUGAUUUCACUAAAUGCGAAGUUUAUAAAAAAUAUAUUAAAAAAAACACACAAGAAUUAUUAAUUAUAGCAAGCAGAUAAAAUAUUAUCUUACCGAAAUGUUUCCGCUAGGAUCUCUAAUGAAUUAAUCUUGGCUUCGACGGCAGGCUUUAUAAACCACGAGCACCUCUUUGAUACCCAAGAUGAUGUGCGUUUAUGUAUGUAUGUAUAUAGGAGCAGUUGAUUCGAAGUGAAGAGCCUCCUCUUGAUAUGCAGUGGUUUAUAUAGACAGAUAAUUAACCGACUUAAAAAGGAAACAUCCUGGAAUUGAGUGUGGAUCGUGCCUUGGGGGGUAAAUGAGCUUACAUAUAACGCUAGUACUGACUGGUGAGCCGCGAGUUGGAGGGUUGGUACUUGGUAGGCAGGCUUACAUAUAACGCAAUUCAUUUCAAAUUUGCCUCCAUCCUGGAACUUCGAUGGUCAAAUCGUGUGAUGAUACCACAUCAGAUGAUAGAAUUAAGUAAUUAAAUAACUAAGAUUGGCUUUGGUCUUUCCUUAACUGCCUUCUUUUCUUUUUCCUUUUUUGGUCCAUUUUGUCUGCAAUACUCUCGUAUCUAUAAUUGUAAUACUAAAUCUAAUGUUUUUUUUUUUUUUACAGUAUUUAUUUGGUCUGAUAUUUUUCUUAGUUUAAGGUUAUCCUUUGAUCCUUAUAGACAAUUUGUCAAACAUGCAGGAGGCAUCUUCAGUAUAUGCGGUAGAGGCUCUUUUAUACAAGCCCCAGUUCAAAUACAACAAAUUCCAGUACACGCGAGACAAAACAAGCCAAAAUAACAUUUCAAUCUCGGAUUUUUGACCUCAUGUAUAAGGGACCAAAAUAAAACAAAUGAGAAAUCAGGGGUUAAAUUGGGUUUGAUCGAACGGCUAUAUUAUCCGUUUUCUCAUCAUACGCACUCCCAAAGAAAGUUUAAUUGUAUCAGCGCCUAGAUUCGUGUUUAUAGCGUGUUUUGAUUUUCCGUUCAAGUCCUAAGAAAUCAUCGUUUGCGUUCUCGUUUGGAUUUUGUUUUUCAACAAGGUAAUACAUGUUGUCAUAGUUUCCUUCUGGCUAAUUUAAAGCAUAUAGUUUCGGGGGGAAAGUCUCACUUUAUUAAACAGUUUACUGAAUCAAUGUUAUGUUAAUGUCUAGGUUUUUUAUAGAAGAAUUGAGCACAUAAACUUCGGAACAAUUUCUCAUUCUAGCUAAUAAUAAUCAUUAGGCUCAGGCCCAGACAGCUGGAAAACCUAGCCAUGUGGCUGCACCAGACUGGGUCUAGACUAGGUCUGGAAACCCAGCCUUGGCUGUGUGGCUGAAAACCAAGUCCAUCAUUCGCCCUGUUUUCUCUGCAAUAACCUUCGUUUCUGUAAAAAAUGGCACUCGAAAUAACACACUUGGCAUCCAUUUAUUCACAGAAUACUUUCAUGUUAUCCCCGCUUACUGGUCGGUAUCUUGAUGGAUCAAAGCACUAGUUUUUACAUCAAAUAUAGACUUCAGAUUUUUCAUCAAAUAAUUUAUUUGAACAGAAAACUAAAAUUGACCGUUACAACUUACAAUUAUGAGUACGAGCUACGCUAGAUACCGUCAUCCUAUAAUACACAAGUUGUGCCCUUCCGUCUUCAUGGGUAAGUCAGUGUCUUCUGGGACUUCAGCAUUUUUUAGAUUUAGAGUAUAUUUGGUAUUGUGAUAGCGGUUGUUUUUUAAAUAUUUUUUUAUGUUAAAAUAUAUGUUAAUAAUAUUUUUUUAUUUUUUUAAAAAUAUUUUUAACAUCAGAACAUUAAAACGAUUUAAAAUAUAUAAUUAUAUUAGAUUUUAAUAAAAAAUAAUAAUUUUUUAAAAAUAUAAUUUUGGACCGAGUUUCCAAAGAGUAUUGUAGACAGCACAAAUAUUGUAUAUUACACGUGCACUCGUUUUGGGUUAAAAUAUAUAUCGAAGGAAAGUAAAAACGACAGAUCAGGUUCCUCUUGAAUUUUUUUAUUUUCAUUUUUCAAUAUACACAUACACAUGUGGUGUUUCCCGUGUUCUUGAUGAACAAAAAUGGCUCUGCCAUUUUCCAACUUUCAUUCUCCUUGUAGUUUGUUUAACGAAAAUAACGUCUGCAUAAUUAUUAAUAAGAAAAAAAUAUAUAUAGCUACUGGCACCACAAGAUAACUUGGCUCAAUAUUGAUGAAAUUAAUUUACAGAUUAAUCAAGAUUAAGUCUUUUGUAAUAUGAUUUUAAAAAUGCAGUCCCUAUAUCAAUAUGUUCAAAAAUUUAAUAGAUUUUUUUUAAACUCUAAAAAAUUAAAGAACAUAGCAAAACUCCUCAUCCACAUGCUAGACCUUGAAUUAGAACACCAAAGAGUUCAUCUUGUUUCGACAGCCUUGAGAUCUACCGAAGACUCCACGGGUCCAUAGAGUUUUCGAGUUUUUAUUAUGUGGGCUGAGUUAGAUAAGCUGUAGUUUGGUGUCCUUCUAACCACUCGAAUCUUAUAAUGGGCUAUUUAGUUGUUGGGCUUCGUUCUUAAUUAGUCUGGUUAAAUUAAAUUAAAAAAUAUAUAUAUAUAUAUAUUAUUUUAAUUAUUUUUUAAAAAAUAAUCACUAUCACAAUUCACAAUCACUAUAUAAAUAUCUCAACUAUUAUCUUCCCUUCUGUCCAAAGAAAAAGAAAUAAUAAAAAAAUCAAAUAAUUUUAUUUUGAAUCUGACAUAUAUAGUUACAUGUCCACUGAAAAACAUUAUACAUGGCAUGCUUAGCUAGCCUUUCCUUGAAAUCUUACAUAGAUACUUAAUUACAAUAUUAAUUUUCAGAUCCGUGUGAGAAACACAAUCUACAGGACAAACCUAUACACAGAGAAACAAUAUACACGAAAAAAAAAGAUACAUAGAUAGUAUUGGUACUCAAACAAACAUUAAUUAUAAGAAUCUAGCUAUAAACGAAAUUAAGAAAAAUCAUCGAUGAGGACUGUAUUACACUUUAAUCGGAGAGCAACUGUUGAACAAGAACUGAAAUCAGAGUCGUAGGAUCUCCAAACAAAGCAGAAAUAAUAAGCAUAAUAGCUUUCUUUGCCUUUCGGAUCCAUAUUUUCUUGGCCUUGCUUGAACUUUUCCAACUUCGGAGUUCUAGUUCUCUACUUGGGAUGGCACUUUGAAGUGCUAGGUAAUUAUCCGUCUCAUUCACGAUUCCAUCUUGAAGGAAAUAACCCUUCUUCCACUUCUUCAAGAUCAUGUCCUUCACACAAGCUACAUGGUAACAAUAUUGACCACAGGAAGAAACAUAGGACCAGCCUUUGAUUCCGUUCGAAGUUUUCCUGCUUCCACAGUUUAAGCAUUUCGAUGGCAGCUUCUCCCUCAGGUGUAACCUCGUGCCAUCAUCAGCUGUUAAGGUACGCUGGAGCUUUAAACAGCUGGGAUGGUAAUCGUGUGGGUUCUUAUGUUUGCACUGGUACACGAACCCUAAGGACAUCUUGUCCACAAGCAUCACAGAAUCUUCCACCCUCUUGCGGGGCUCUGGAGUGAAAUCUCAAGCUGCACUUCGAAAAUGAAUGGAAGGCAGAUGGAGAAGCAUUUGCGCAUUCCUCGUGAAGAUAGAAGCUGCAGUCUUCGUGCUCGCAUUCGUAGCAUGGGCCAAGCCCCAGUCCUUUGCAUCCGUCACAUUCAUAAGGCUCUCGUGGAUGCUUCAACAAGAGAAAAUGUUCGCUAUCAUGACUGGAAUGUUU